rnacentral:rRNA from 1 species
GUUGGGUAGGGGAGCGUUCUGUAAGCCUGCGAAGGUGUACUGUGAGGUAUGCUGGAGGUAUCAGAAGUGCGAAUGCUGACAUAAGUAACGAUAAUGCGGGUGAAAAACCCGCACGCCGGAAGACCAAGGGUUCCUGUCCAACGUUAAUCGGGGCAGGGUGAGUCGACCCCUAAGGCGAGGCUGAAAAGCGUAGUCGAUGGGAAACGGGUUAAUAUUCCCGUACUGGUGGUAACUGCGAUGGGGGAACGGAGAAGGCUAGGUUGUCCGGGCGACGGUCGUCCCGGUUCAAGCAGGUAGGCAGAGUGAUUAGGCAAAUCCGGUCACUUAAUGCUGAGAUGUGAUGACGAACCACCAAGGUGGUGAAGCAAUUGAUGCCCCGCUUCCAGGAAAAGCCUCUAAGCUUCAGGUUACCAACAAUCGUACCCCAAACCGACACAGGUGGUCAGGUAGAGAAUACUCAGGCGCUUGAGAGAACUCGGGUGAAGGAACUAGGCAAAAUGGUGCCGUAACUUCGGGAGAAGGCACGCUGGCGGUAGGUAAAGUCCCUUGCGGACGGCGCUGAAGCCAGUCGAAG